CGUUCGGGGGAACUUUCUCUAAAUGUAUUUCCCACAGCACCUGGAAGAUAACAGAAUGCCAGCAGUCCUCCGUGUGGGAGGAGCUGUCCUCUGUGUGGGAGGAGCUGUCCUCUGUGUGGGAGGAGCCGUCCUCCAUGUGAGAGGAGCUGUCCUCUGUGUGGGAGGAGCUGUCCUCUGUGUGGGAGGAGCCGUCCUCCAUGUGAGAGGAGCCGUCCUCUGUGUGGGAGGAGCUGUCCUCCGUGUGGGAGGAGCUGUCCUCAGUGUGGGAGGAGCCGUCCUCCGUGUGGGAGGAGCCGCCCUCUGUGUGGGAGGAGCUGUCCUCCUGUGGGAGGAGCUGCCCUCUGUGUGGGAGGAGCUGUCCUCCGUGUGGGAGGAGCUGUCCUAUGUGUGGGAGGAGCCGUCGGAGCAGCACUAGUCGUAUGUUGGGUUUGCAUAUUGACAUCGUAGCUUGUGGAACAACUAAAAUAACUGACAAAACUCAGGGGAAACUGUCUUUCAAUGUACCACAGAAUCAGGACCUGAAUGGGUUCCUACAAAAAUUUAUGAUGGAAGCUCUGGAUCAGCAUCCACACAACGGAGCGGCAGUAGGAGACGAGGCUGACACCCCCCGCUGGAUGAGCUUCUUCUCCCAUCACAAAAAAGCCUGACGGACGUGAGCAGGGAGGACGACUGGAAGGCGCCGCUGGAUCAGUCGGCGUUCCCGGGCUGGCUGCCCUUCUCCUCCAUGGCGGAGCUUUUUAAUGAUUUUAAUUGUUAAUUUGUUUCUUUAACAAAUAG